rnacentral:rRNA from 1 species
GACGAGGGAUCCUAGCGUUGUUCGGAAUCAUUGGGCGUAAAGAGCUCGUAGGCGGCUUGUUGCGUCGACUGUGAAAACCCGCGGCUUAACCGCGGGCUUGCAGUUGAUACGGGCAGGCUAGAGUUCGGUAGGGGAGACUGGAAUUCCUGGUGUAGCGGUGAAAUGCGCAGAUAUCAGGAGGAACACCGGUGGCGAAGGCGGGUCUCUGGGCCGAUACUGACGCUGAGGAGCGAAAGCGUGGGGAGCGAACAGG